rnacentral:rRNA from 1 species
AGUGAACGCUGGCGGUAGGCCUAACACAUGCAAGUCGAACGGCAGCACAGUAAGAGCUUGCUCUUACGGGUGGCGAGUGGCGGACGGGUGAGGAAUACAUCGGAAUCUACUUUUUCGUGGGGGAUAACGUAGGGAAACUUACGCUAAUACCGCAUACGACCUACGGGUGAAAGCAGGGGAUCUUCGUACCUUGCGCGAUUGAAUGAGCCGAUGUCGGAUUAGCUAGUUGGCGGGGUAAAGGCCCACCAAGGCGACGAUCCGUAGCUGGUCUGAGAGGAUGAUCGGCCACACUGGAACUGAGACACGCUCCAGACUCCUACGGGAGGCAGCAGUGGGGAAUAUUGGACAAGGGGCGCAAGCCUAAUCCGGCCAUACCGCGUGGGUGAAGAAGGCCUUCGGGUUGUAAAGCCCUUUUGUUGGGAAAGAAAAGCAGCAGGUUAAAACCCCGCUGUUCUGACGGUACCCAAAGAAUAAGCACCGGCUAACUUCGUG